rnacentral:lncRNA from 1 species
UGUUUUUGAUGGAUUCCUCCUCAGUCUAAACCUUCCUGCAAAUGAGCAUUGAAAGAAGCUUCCAGAGGAUACAUCCUAUUAGCACACUGCUUCUGGAGAUCUAGGCUUUUCCUUGCUGAAGUCACUCCCUUUUUUGCUUUUAAUUAACACACACAUACUUUGGCACCUUCACCACCUAUUCCAGCCUACCUCACGGGGACGUUCAGAUUUUCAAUCAGUUCAAGUUCAGGCUGUUCUUGGAGGAUGGGGAAGUUUAAGCCACAUCUCUGCUUUGGUUUUCAGGAGACACGAAUAUGUAUCUGUUUUCCCAGACCAGAAAAUAUCUGUCUACUCAGUGAAGAAAAGUAGAAUCCCUCAGGCCAAAAGCAGACCCUUUUAGGGAGGCUGAAACAGCGCCAGUACUGUGUGCUUCCGACUGCUUUCCUGGACUUUGCCCAUUUUAUGCACCAAAAAAUGUACCCUGGAUCUUAUCAAAAGUCAUGACCUCUGAGAUGGUCGCAGAGCUGGUUCAGUUCCAGCAGUCUCUGGGAAAGGCCAAUAAGUUAUUUUAUCCCUUUCCAUUAAGUCCUACCCAUGAAAAAGACCCAUUGCACUAUAGGGCUUAAGACAAGGGAAACCAAGGUCCAAUGACAUCUUUAAAAGCAGCAGAGUGAGAUCAGCAAUACACAGUCCUCAAACAAUGCAUGGUAAUAGAGGAGGUAAGACUUGAGAACCACUAGAACAAAUUGGCUGAAAUGUGAUAGAUUUACCAGACAUUAUCUAAUUUUGAAUAGGUAGGAAACAUAUAUGCCUUUAAAAGGCAUGUAUGCCUUUUAAAUCAAGGGUACAGUCCAGUUUGACCACAGCUGUGGAUUGAGCUUGCCAGAGAAAGCACUGGGCAAAACUGUUUGGUUUGCGUUUCGCAGGAAGUUAGAGCAGCUGCUAAUAAUGGCCUCUUCUACCUUUUAAGUGUAUAGGUAUACAAGGCUCCAGAUGACAUAAGAGAUCCAUUUGCACUGUAUAGAAAGAAAACAAAUGUGUCUCCAUGGGGGAGAAGUCACUGAUACCAACUCUUUGGAAAAAAGUCCCUGUUCCCAUGCCUGUUUUGAAAACUGGUCCAUCAUUCAUGUGUCUCCUAUUGCCUUUUCACAUACCAUAAUAUGCCUAUGUGCAACUGAAUGACAAAUAUUUGUCUCCAAGAGAAAUGCUAAAGAAGCAGACACUUAGCCUGAGGUUACUAUUAGUCAGCCAGACUGUAUCUCCAUAUUAUAAUUCUAUCAUUACAGUCUGCUGUUCUGGUUUGUUUUCAUUUUAGUUGGGUGUGAAGACCUAAAGAAGGUGUGAUUGGGUUACCCUAACCACAAACUCGGACACCAGUAAGAAAAGCAAGAGGUAGAAAG